rnacentral:tRNA from 1 species
GGAGAGAUGUCCGAGUGGCUUAAGGAGCUCGCUUGGAAAGCGUGUGUGCCUCAAAAGGGUACCGUGGGUUCGAAUCCCACUCUCUCCG